ensembl:lncRNA
UGGAUGGCAUCACUAACUCGAUGGAUGUGAGUCUGAGUGAACUCCAGGAGUUGGUGAUGGACAGGGUGGCCUGGUGUGCUGCAAUUCAUGGGGUUGCAAAGAGUUGGACACGACUGAGCGACUGAACUGAACUGAACUGAGCUGAGAAUUCAAAAUCCCAUAGGCGGAUUCUGUACCCACUGAGCCAGCAGGGAAGCCUAAUGGACAGAUGGAUGCCACAUGAAAGCCAGCCAGUCAACACCAAGAAGGACACUGAAGGCUUAUUGAAGAGCUAUGAGAAACAGCAGCGAGGACCCAGAACAUUCCAUAUCUCCAGACUGUGCAUCUUUGUGGGUCUGGGUGGAAUGGGGACCACCUUGUGGACUCUGAUGGCUUUUAUUUACAUCCUGAAUUCCCUUCAGAGUAGUUUUCUUAGGGGCAGUCAAUUUAAGAUGUAAAACCAAAGUGGAAA